GGACUUGAGUUGUUAGAACAAAUGGGAAAUAAACCAGACACAACUUCGAAAAAAAAAGAAAAAUCUCAUUUCUUGAUUAGAUCAACAUGACCUGUUCAUACCGCAUCCACCUGACAGAAAAUUAACAUCUCUCUGAAAGAAGAUAAUAAAAUCUACAUGAAAGGAAAUACUAACAGGAACUAGAGGGAAUUAUUCAGGCAGAAGAAAACAUUCCCAGAUGAAAGCACAGAAUGUGGAGUGCAGUGAAGAGUACCAGAUUGGGGAUCUCCAUUGACCAAAGCAAACUGAAACAAGCAACAGUCAUGGGAGUCCAGGUAACACAGUCCAUAGAGGCCAGACUUCUGAGGCUGGGCUGUUGGCAGUGACUAAAGGAAUCAUCUAGUAGUUUAAAGAAGAUAAGAAAAUGGAGACCAAAGGGAAAUGAGGACCUUCACCUUCUUGCACAGCCAUCCUGUAGGGCUAAUAAAGUGAAUGCUGGUCACUGCAAGAGUCAUGAAAAAGAGCCAUAAAAAUAAGACAAGAAAGAGAAACAUGAUCUCCCUUCCAGAGAAAAUCAAUUUUAAAACUCAUAGUUUCCAGUAAAUAUGUGCAAGCCUUGAAGAACAUAUUCAUGUAGUUGUAAAGACUAUACACACUUACACACAAAAAAUUCACUACAUAACUAUUGAAAAGAGCCUGAAUAUUCUACAGUUCAAUUCAGAAGGUAUUCAUGCAUUUCCUAUAUACACACCCUUGACUCACCUCUACUUUCGAACCCUAGCAAGACCUAGCUGAUUAUCUUAAUAUCGUGACCCCUCUAUUAUACAAUAAAGUAUUAAAAUAAUCUUUCCUUUA